rnacentral:rRNA from 1 species
GAUGAACGCUAGCGAUAGGCCUAACACAUGCAAGUCGAGGGGCAUCACAUGAGGCAGCAAUGCCGAUGGUGGCGACCGGCGCACGGGUGAGUAACACGUAUGCAACCUGCCUUCAACAAGGGGAUAACCCGUUGAAAAACGGACUAAUACCCUAUAAUACAGGGGUCCCGCAUGGGGAUAUUUGUUAAAGAUUGAUCGGUUGAAGAUGGGCAUGCGUUCCAUUAGCUGGUUGGUGAGGUAACGGCUCACCAAGGCAACGAUGGAUAGGGGAACUGAGAGGUUUAUCCCCCACACUGGUACUGAGACACGGACCAGACUCCUACGGGAGGCAGCAGUGAGGAAUAUUGGUCAAUGGACGCAAGUCUGAACCAGCCACGUCGCGUGAAGGAAGACGGCCCUACGGGUUGUAAACUUCUUUUGUAAGGGAUAAAGUGUAGUACGCGUACUAUUUUGCAUGUACCUUACGAAUAAGGAUCGGCUAACUCCGUGCCAGCAGCCGCGGUAAA